UGGGGAAUUUUGGACAAUGGGCGAAAGCCUGAUCCAGCAAUGCCGCGUGUGUGAAGAAGGCCUUCGGGUCGUAAAGCACUUUUGUCCGGAAAGAAAUCCUCUGGGUUAAUACCUCGGGGGGAUGACGGUACCGGAAGAAUAAGCACCGGCUAACUACGUGCCAGCAGCCGCGGUAAUACGUAGGGUGCAAGCGUUAAUCGGAAUUACUGGGCGUAAAGCGUGCGCAGGCGGUUUUGUAAGACGGAUGUGAAAUCCCCGGGCUUAACCUGGGAACUGCAUUCGUGACUGCAAGGCUAGAGUAUGGCAGAGGGGGGUAGAAUUCCACGUGUAGCAGUGAAAUGCGUAGAGAUGUGGAGGAAUACCGAUGGCGAAGGCAGCCCCCUGGGCCAAUACUGACGCUCAUGCACGAAAGCGUGGGGAGCAAACA
rnacentral:rRNA from 1 species